CGGCGCGGGGGCGGACGGAGGGCGGCGCCGCUGCAGUGCGGGACCCGCUCGCCCGCCGUCCCCGCGCCCGCGCGUCCCCGCGCAGCCGCCUCCGGCCUCCGGCGCCGCGCAUCCAGGAAGCGGGCAGCGGGUCGCCAUGGCCUCGCCAUCGGCUCAGCAGCUGGAGGAGGACGACGGCCUGAGGGGCUGCGAGCUCUACGUGCAGAAGCACGGCGCCCAGCAGGUGCUCAAGGACUGCAUCGUGCAGCUCUGCAUCUCCAAGCCCGAGCGCCCCAUGAGGUUCCUCCGGGAGCACUUCGAGAAGCUGGAGAAGGAAGAAAACCGACAGAUCCUGGCGCAGCAGAAGUCAGCCUCCCAGUCGGACUCACACGAUGAGGAAGUGUCCCCGUUGCCGCCCAACCCGGUGGUGCGAGCCCGGCCCCGGCGUGGGGGAGUGAGCGCUGAGGUGUACACAGAGGAGGAUGCCGUGUCCUACGUGCGGAAGGUCAUCCCCAAGGACUACAAGACCAUGACGGCACUGGCCAAAGCCAUCUCCAAGAACGUGCUCUUUGCUCACCUGGACGACAACGAGAGAAGCGACAUAUUCGACGCCAUGUUCCCCGUCAUGCACAUCGCUGGGGAGACCGUCAUACAGCAAGGGGACGAAGGGGAUAACUUCUACGUAAUCGACCAAGGGGAAGUGGACGUGUAUGUGAACGGAGAGUGGGUGACCAGCAUCAGUGAAGGCGGCAGCUUCGGGGAGCUGGCCCUCAUCUACGGCACCCCCAGGGCGGCGACUGUGAAGGCCAAGACGGACCUCAAGCUCUGGGGCAUCGACCGGGACAGCUACCGGCGCAUCCUCAUGGGCAGCACGCUGAGGAAGCGCAGGGUGUACGAGGAGUUUCUCAGCAAGGUCUCCAUCCUGGAGUCCCUGGAGAAGUGGGAGCGUCUGACUGUGGCUGACGCACUGGAGCCCGUCCAGUUUGAGGACGGAGAGAAGAUCGUGGUCCAGGGGGAGCCUGGGGACGACUUCUUCAUCAUCACAGAGUUUUGCCUUUUCCGGAAUGCCACGUAGUUGGAAGCACACAGCCCGAAGCCUUUCCUCACUGGCGCCUGUCACUCGGUGGUACGCAUCCGUUCCCAGCUCCGGUUUCCCUGGUAUCCACACACAGCAUGAGGCGUUCCCAGACAGACAGAUGUGGAACUCAUUUGCUGGAUUCCGAGGUCCUGCUUUACCCCGGACGGGAUUCCUGGCACCAGGGGAGGAGAGAUACGCAGCGUGCAAAGACCGUUGCCAUAAAGACGCCUGAUUUGUCCGUGGAAAGUCCAACAGAUGCGCUGUCUUGGACGAAUCCCCGUGCGGGGGUGUCGACUCCCUCACCCACCGCUGCCCGCUGGCCGGGAGCUGGGUGGCCCGAGGGCGGCUUCUGGCCCCACCACGGCCGUGCUGCUGCAGGCCUGCGCGCGCUGGUCCCCCGAGUCUGCGGUGGCCGGCGUCGUAUCUCUUCUGCAGAUGAGGGAACCGAGACUCGGGCUGUGCCUUGCCUUCCCCUGACUGCGGCCAGCACGUCGUGGAGCCGGGCUUGGACCGUGGGGAGCCGCCCAGAGCGCGGGGCUCAGGCCGUGUCGAGGGCACCUCGGGUGGAGGCUGCUGUCUUCACACCUUCCCAUACCUGCCUCCUGUGUUCUUCUUUCAGUUGUCCUUUAGCUUACGGGAGGUGAUGCUGGUUCCUGCUUAUGGCUGUGAUACUGUUUCUUUUAAGAUAGAUAUUUAUUCAAAUAAAAUAGGGUUUGCUCUCCCUGAACUUGGUGUCAGUGGGAUCUGAGAGUGACUGCUCACUGCACGGCUGGCCUUCACACUGACACGCUCGUGUGUCCCCUCCCCUGCUGGGCCGGAUGCGCACGAGCUCCAGUCUCUGCCCGGAGCGGCUGCGGGUCCCUGGCGGGAGCUCCUCUCUCACCAGGUGCCGUCCCUACUGAGCCGCUGACCCUGACGUCCCCCAGCCCCACCCCGGGCCGCACCGUGGGCGUGGGGCCAGCGGCCCACAGCCCUGACCUGUCUGCUCUGACCCCACCAGGGUGUGGAUCCUGGGGCGCCCGUGCCUGCCGUUCUCCACUGCGUAGGCUUCCCCGCCCUCGAGCGGAGUCUGGCUCACAGGCAGGAGGAGUGGGUGACGGCCCGAAGGCUGGAGGAGAUGGAGGUGGGCCAUGUCCCUGGGGAGGGCGAGGCCAAGCUCCCGGCUGUGCCAUCGCCCGACCCGGUCAGGGGGGCUCUAUGCCGGGCUGGAGAGGCUGCUUCAGGGAGAGGGAAGCCUGAGGCCCUGCUUCAGCGAGUGCGUUCUCCUCGACCUUGGCUGGUUUCUGUCUCAUAAAGGUCACGCGUGCCCGUUGUCGAAACCAAAGAGUUGAUGUGGGUUUCGACUUUGUAGAAAAAUUUAAAAAAUGAAAAGCGUUGAAAGGAGAAUGGGCCUUUUGUAACCCCUUCUCCUCCAGACUCCAGCAGUGACGUUUUCCUUGUGCAUCCUCCCUGGCUGAUUCCUAUGUGACCUGAUUUAUUUUUAGAGUUGGGUUAGAAUCAAUGAGAAAUUUGGGGAAUAUGAUCUAGAGUUUUGGCAAGUGUGUUUCUCCAGCCCCCAGAAUUCCGGCUCUCAACUCCCUGAGGAUGUCUAUGCUGCCUUCAUGCCCGUCUGGGAAACGAGCUUGGACAGGACGGCUAUUCCAGGGCUGCGGUGAUUUCCCUGGGAUGGGAAGACCCGGGCGUGUGCUGGUCACGCCUGUGGCCCGUGUCGUGGGAACGCCGGGCCCUGCUGGUUGGAGGUCCCACCCCAUCGAGUCCGUCUGCCCGUUUCCCUCGCUCCCCGCCCUCGGGCUUGGCGGCUGUGCCUUCCCAGGACAGGAACGUCCUGCCGUUGCGUCAGGGCUUGGGGGUGGUGGCCUGUCAGCUUCAGCUGCUGCAGCAAAGAGCCCCCGAACCACUGCGGUGGAGAAUGAGGAAGUGUCUGUCUUGUGAAGUGGUGACCCCACGGUCAUCACAGGCACCCCUGGGGGGCGUGGCUCUGUCCCUUGUGGCCCUUCCUCUCGUGGCCCCACUGCCCCUUGCCAGACCUCCCCCCGUGGAGGCUGGGCUGUCAGCAGCGGGAAGAGAGUGUGGUGCAGUGCACACCCUGUUGGGAACAACAUGGUCCCGUGGCCACGUGCUCCUGCAGCCCUGGGACGUGUGAGGACCGAGCGGAGUGGCCGCCUGUUCCCUGUUGGUCCUACUUAUUCGGGGCUCCCCCUGAGGACCUUUCAUCUUCGUGCCGUCCAGCCUGGAGGGUCUGUUAUUACAUCAGUCUUAACGGGUGCGCGUACAUCCUCUGUGUCAAGGUCCCGAGUGGGAAAGCUCCGUGCAUCCCAGUGGAAACAGAUUUCAUCUCGUCAACCUGCCGUCGAUCGUAAGAUGGGCCGGUCCACAUGUGACCAGGAGAGAAAUGCUUCCAGUGACCACGGGGGAUGCGGUUGGUUCCAGAGGAGGCAGAGGGCAGGGAGGUGUCUGCAUGGGGCGGGGGACAAGUGAGAAACAGAACGGUGGCCCACCCGAGCCCAUCCCUGCUCUCAUGUGCCCACUGAGCCCUAAUCCUCACCGCUGUCCCAGGCGGGCAGGGCAGAGCCUGAGAAGUGGCAGCCAGUCGCAUCGCUUGCACGUGACCUGCUCUGGCCAGUGAGCUGUGAGGGGAGGUUGCCGGGAGCUUCCAGAAGGUUUCCCUGCUGAUGGCAUGGGGGAGGCGUUGGGUGACCCCUGGAACUGUGGCAGCCACGGUGCCAGCACAGGGACUCGACUGAGGCCACCAGGGCAGGAGGCAAGGACAAGCCUGGGUCCAGACACGUCUGUGGGCCGCUGAAUUAGCCAGCCCUGAAAGCCCUGUCUCAGUCUUCUGGUUCUGCGGGAGAGCAGUUACCCUUAGUAGCCUUUAGACACCUUGAGUUGGGUUUUCUGUUGUUUGGAGCUUGCAGCAUCUCACUUUAAGCCUGGAGUCUCACUGAGCAGCUCUAUCAGCUGGAACUUCAGCUCCGUCCCGGGUCCUGAAGAGGAAAAUGAUCCAGUUGUAAAAUGGAAAAUUGUCUAAAAUGGGAAUGAAAGGCAUGUCAGUUAUAUAAGUGAAAAGGCUGCAUGUAAACGAUAGUUAGGUUAAUGCAACGUUGUCUCAAGAAAAGCGCCGCAGUGCCGUCAUCCCUGGACCUGACUGCCCUCCACUCCAGGGGCAGUUGGGAGCAGGACCCCACUCCUCUCUGUGGGGGCAGCACGGGACCACGUGUCCCGCAGGCCCUGUCCCUCGGCUGGGGUCUGUGGGCACACGGCCCAGGGAGCACUCCUGGAGUGCCCGGGCCGGGUGGAGAUGGCCUGCUGCUUCCAGGUCCGGCUCCCUCUGUCAGCCAGCUUCGUAAGCACCCCAGACGCCUGAGAGCCGAGUGGCCCUGUGGCUGGAGUGGGGCCGGCGUGGGUCUGCCCAGGGCGUCCGGAGGUCCCAGUCGCGGCAGGCACUGGUGGGGUCUUUUGACCGAGUCUCUUGCGGCCCGGGCGGAGGGGGUACCAGUUAACCCGGGCGCGGCCAGGCUAGCGCUUGCAAGGCCGGGUCUGGGUGAGCCAGGGUGAGCCGAGCCCACCGCGAGACAGCCCAGGCUCCUCUGUGCGUCCAGGGCAUCGGCAGCGGCCGGUGAGGCCAGUGGGGCUGGCGGGGUGAUUCAUAAGGCCUUGCUGCUACUCCUUGGGCGUGUGGGGAAGAUGCCGGGUUCCGACGAGGCUCCAGCCCCAGGGUGCCCCCAGACGGCAGGCCAGGGGGCUCUGCGCGCGGAAGCCACCGGUGCCAGCUCGUUGCUGCCGAGGCUGCGGCCCCCGAAGGCCGAGUCUCUGGUGUGGAACGCAGCCUCGCCAAGCUGCCUAGGCUGGCGUUAAUCAUUGAGCCCCAGUGUCGCGGACACCCCGCCUGGAGGCCAGGGGGCCGCAUCGCUUAGCGGGGCGGCGUGACCACGAGGCCACGCGCCUCCCGUCCUUGAAACUUAAGCCAAGGUCAGCUCGGAGCAGCGCUGCCCUCGGAGGCACCUCCAGAUUCUGCCCGUGCCCCGCCCGCGGGCAGACAGCUUGGGGCAGGAGCCAGGCCGGCGAGGAUGGUGGUGCCCGGGAGGUGCCCUGGGCCAGAGCA